ensembl:lncRNA
GUUUGUCACCCGGAUGGUCGACCAUAUUUAUGACUAGGGGGAUUGGAAUGACCAAGACUUAAUCAAGGCCUGAACUGUCAUUCCCUCCCAAUGAAAUAAGAAGACAGCUAUGUCGCAAAUAACAAUCCAAAGACCCAAUUCUACUGGACAUUGAAGUGGAGACAACUGCUUUGUCAUCAAGAUGGCGACUGGGAUUUGGGAGCUAAUUGGAUUUUUGAAAAGCUGACUGCUUGGAUUUUUCUGGAUUUUAUUUGACUGUGUCAAUUGGAAUUACUUAAACUUUCACAUGGACUCUUGUGCUGGGGAUUCUUUGGACUCAGUUGUUUGAAUAGGCUAUUGUAAUAGUUGCUUUGACUGCAUUCAAUUAGAGUACUUUUCUACUUCUGUGAUUUCCUAAUGCGCUGUUAUUUAUAUUAAAUAAAACAAUGUUUUUUC